rnacentral:rRNA from 1 species
UACAGAGGGGGCAAGCGUUAUUCGGAAUUAUUGGGCGUAAAGGGCGCGUAGGCGGCUUUGCAAGUGACGGGUGAAAGCCCUCGGCUUAACCGAGGAACUGCCUGUCAGACUGUAAGGCUUGAGACCGGGAGAGGUGAGUGGAAGUCCCAGUGUAGCGGUGAAAUGCGUAGAUAUUGGGAGGAACACCUAUGGCGAAGGCAGCACUCUGGGACGGUACUGACGCUGAGACGCGAAAGCGUGGGGAGCGAACAGG